GGGGUGCAGCAGGCGCGAAAACUUGGCAAUGCGGGAAACCGCGACCCAGGGGAUUCCAAGUGCAUGCACUUUGUGUAUGCUGUUCCAUUGCCUUAAAAGCAUAGGAAGUAAGAGCUGGGUAAGACAGGUGCCAGCCGCCGCGGUAAUACCUGCAGCUCGAGUGGUGGCCACUAUUAUUGGGCCUAAAACGUCCGUAGCCUGUUUAAUAAAUGCCUGGGUAAAUCGUGUAGCUUAACUAUACGAAUUCCGGGUAGACUGUUAAACUUGAGACCGGGAGAAGUUAGAGGUACUCCUGGGGUAGAGGUGAAAUUCUGUAAUCCUAGGGGGACCACCGGUGGCGAAGGCGUCUGACUAGAACGGGUCUGACGGUGAGGGACGAAGCCCUGGGGCGCAAACCGGAUUAGAUACCCGGGUAGUCCAGGGUGUAAACGCUGCUUGCUUGAUGUUAGUCGGGCUCCGAGCCCGAUUAGUGUCGGAGAGAAGUUGUUAAGCAAGCUGCCUGGAAGUACGUCGCAAGGC
rnacentral:rRNA from 1 species